UACGUAGGGUGCGAGCGUUGUCCGGAAUUACUGGGCGUAAAGAGCUCGUAGGUGGUUUGUCGCGUUGUCCGUGAAAACUCACAACUCAAUUGUGGGCGUGCGGGCGAUACGGGCAGACUGGAGUACUGCAGGGGAGACUGGAAUUCCUGGUGUAGCGGUGAAAUGCGCGGAUAUCGGGAGGAACACCGGUGGCGAAGGCGGUUCUCUGGGCCUUACCUGACGCUGAGGAGCGAAAGCGUGGGGAGCGAACAGG
rnacentral:rRNA from 1 species